UUUUUUUUUUUUUUUGUAAAGCUUUUAACCUGUGCUUUCUGGGUGAUCUGAUGAUAAACUAAAAAAAGACCAAAAAAACUUUGCAUGCAAGACCCUACUUGCUUUCCGUGGAGAGCUACUGUUUUCUCUCUCUCUCUCCCCCUCUCCCUCUCAUACAUAACUUAUUAUCAUCCAUAUUUGUUUCUAAGAUCGUGAAAAUUAUUUAAAAGAAGAAAUUAGUACAAUACAUUAAAAAAAAAAAGGGAAAUGAAAACCGAAGCAGCUACCAGAUGAAACAAAUCAGAUGGUAAAUCUCAAAAAAUGAUGACGACAAUUUUUAUUCAAAGCUAAGGGAAUCACAAUGAUGAAAGCAAUAUCUGAACCCUGAAGGUAUUUCUUCAAGCCCAAUCACUGUUAAGAAUAUUUACAGUAAAUGUAUGUAUUAUUUACAGUAAAUAUUUACUGACACAUAUAUGCCUUAAACUCAGGAAUUUCUUAAGAAACUAAACAACAGAGGGAGAUAUAGUUGUUCUUUCUUAAUAUAUUUGCCAGAAGUCCACUGGAUAAGACAUAAAAAUAUAGAGUAUGCUGUGUAUGUGUAGAAUUUCUCUUGCAAACAGUUGUCAGUUUAGGUGGUACAGGCAACCUCUUCUGUCUUGGAUUACUGUUGAACUUGGUGGGGAUGUUUAAGGAUCACUCUACAUUUCUCAUCCACUGAUGAAAUAUCUCUAAAACACAAAUCUAAGAUACACAAAGAAAUCGAAGACAAAGUCUUUAAGAUUCUAAGGCAAAAAUAGAGACUUUAAAUGUGUAACCAAGAAAUGCAUCACCCCAAUGAUUAAAAACAAAAGUAUACCUCAGAGUUUAAUUGUUCUCAUCUAGUAAUCUUUGCCAGAAACUGUAGUGCAGCUAAAGUAUGCUGUGUUGAUACUGGUGUGUUUGGCUCAUUAUCAUUAAUUAACUAUUAACUAUUAACUUAAAGUUAGAGAUUGAUACCUAAAGUCACUCUUGGAUAUAAACAUCAUAUCAGAUGCAUUAAUGUUAGAGUUUUAAAUAAGAAAUUUUCUGUGGGGGGAGGGUAUAAAUAAGAACCUACAAUAUGAAAUUGAGAAGACAUCUGUCACAAUGGCCAAACCUCCAGUAGGCUACAGUAAUGACUAUGAAUCUAUUACUGUUGAUAUAUUGCAAAAGCUGUGGGAACAGGUAACUUUUCAAAUUAUACAGAGAGCAAUCAACAGCCAAAGGCAAUAGUGCCAUGCUCUUCCACUGCAUGCCUCCCAUGGGAAUAUGUGCAUCUGCAAGCCUGAGAUUACAGGCAAGACAGAGUUUUCUUUCACCGUUAGUUUGAUUUUUGAACUAUAGAAGAAACCACUGGUUAGUCAAUCCCACAAUAGGGGCGGUAGGAACCAUACUGGUAAAGUACCGUCAAUAGCAGCCUCCUCUGACUCCUUUCCUCAACAGCUCAAGCCCACUCACUAAAGCUUGCUCUCUUGCAAUCUCUUUCACUCUUUGGUCUCUCUCUAUCCCACAGAUCACAUAUUUUAAGAAAACUCAAAGUCCUAUAAACCCCAGUAUACUACAAGGAAAGGGAGAGGCAGAGGGAGAGAGAGAAAAUGAAAGAAAUACGAAGAAUUUCCUUGGAAAUUUGAAUAAAAUUCUAAAACAGGAACAUUUUUAAAUUACGAAAAUAGAAAUUUUAGAUAUUAUGAAUCAGGGUGCUGGUUCAGAAUCUAUUUAACCAAAAUCAUAAACUACUGGGUACUGGUUACUAUAGUUAUCAUAGGAGGCAGAUAGCUAGGUAAGAGCAGAGAAAGGGAGGCUUGGGCCAGGUGGCAGAAAACCAUGCAUCAUGUAAACAGCGGGUACCCAAGGGCAGACAGAGAAAAGCAGAAACCUCUAGACUGACAGACCGGAAACCACACAUUUGGGGAGAUAAGUGUCCUGGAGGCAGGCAGGGAAAGCUGGAAAAAAGGCAGGGAUCUCUAGCAUCCAAAUGUAACCUGUUGCUCAUUACGCCCUCAUUAUAAUAAAAUUAGCCUUGCAGAUAAGAAAUUCCUAUGCGCCAAGGCCAUGACACUUCUAAUCAAGGCUAAGGAAGGACAAAAAUUCCUCCUUCUCUCAACAUGGUGGAUCUGGAGUGAAAAUCAGGGAACGCCUUGCAGGCCCAUCCUUCCGCCUUUUCAUUUUUAUGCCCUUCUUCACUGGUUUGCCAAAGACACACAGGGCAGCUGCUUGCCUCUUUGCCUGCCUCCCCUCCAGCGGCAUACUUCUCACUUAAAUAAAUCCUCACUUUACUUUCUCUAUUUCCCUGUCUUUUUGCUGAAUUCCUUCUGAACGGAGACAAGAAUCUUUCACAGGGAACACAGCUAGGUGGACAACCUGGUGGUGUGCAUUUAUAGCGGACAAAAGACAAAAUAUCCUAUUUCAUGCCCAGCCCAUGAUACAUUACUGUCUCUUAAAAAGGGUAGUUAAUUAACACUGAUCUGAGGUUAAGAUAACUAAGUUUCCUUUACAACCUUUUGUCUCAUUUUGCAUUCUCUCUAUAAAAAAGGGUAACUGACACCACUUUAGCCUAUACAAGUUUCAUGUGAAUUUGAAAAAGGCACACUUUCCCUAAAAUAUGUUCGUUAUUAUCUGUCACAAAUUUGUAACAAAUAUACAAAGAUAUUAUGGCCAACGUGUGAAGGGCCCCCCACAUGUGCGGUACACCACUUUGCAACCAAAUGCAACUACUUUGGUAGUUUGUGCAUGACCACUCCCCAAUCAAUAACCCCAAUCGAUUGGUUCUUGGCCAGCACACACUAUGCUGUAUUCACCUAGGUAUAUCUUAAUAUUAUAUUUUGAUCCAGCCUGACAUCUCUAGGUACACUAGUUGACACAUUAGACGGCAACUCUUGUACUAGUAGCAUUUGUGGCACACAUCCUGGGCCAUUUUCACUUAUUUUUAUACUUAAACUUUAGUUCUGAUCCCAUCUGCUUCCUGACUCUUGACUACACCUCUUAUUUAUGUCUUUGUUUACCAAAUGUUCAUGAUAGUAAUCAAGCAGUAUUUUAUGUGUCACACACACCCACAUACACACACAAAAAGGUCACUUUCUGAUGUGAAACUGAUAAAAAUCAGUACAAAGAAGAUCCCUCUGCAUUGUAAACCAUCUAUAAUGGAAAAAAAUAAAAAUCAUUAAAUAAAAAAAGAUUAAAAAAAGAAGAUCCCUCUGCAUACUGUAUAUGUCAAGAGAUAUUUGCAAAUAUUUUGUUGAGGGAGACUAGGAAAUCCUCCAACAGGGUCAACAUGGCUUCCUUAGGCCUGGAAUCUAACUAAGGCAAUUGUUAUUCAGAGAAGGCAGAUUGCAUAUAAAAGGGAAAACUCAAGAAGAAUUUUCAAUGUCUAUCCCACAGGACCUAGUGGAAACUGCUCUUUAUCCUCAAGGUCUUACAUCCAGGAUCAGUCAUGAUUUUUGACUCAGGUCUAUUUUUCACCGUAUUAAAUUGGGGCUAAUUUUUUUUAAGCCAUCUCCUAAGAGUUAGUUUAAUGUUAAUUCCCCAGGAUCUGAAAUACUGUGUAUAGUUUAGUUGAUCAAAGUAGUUUCUGUUCAGAACACCUGAAAGUCUAACCCCGAUAUACUUCAAUGAUCCCACAACACUACAGACCAGCAUGGGAGAUCUGUCUAGAGCAACUAGCAAAACUCUCUCUUGAAUAUUUGACAUCUUCAUGCCUCACUCUUGAGGUAGAGACCUACAAAGGUCAUCCUUCAAGAAAAUGAAAUUUGAGCUGAGAGAUUUUUAAUUUGUUCUUUGUGGCUGGAGAUGUAACAAAUUAGUUUGAAAGCCACGAUGGUCAUGUGUACUGGGGAGCAGAGAGAAAAAGAGAAACGACACAGAUAAGCAGAGAAGCAAAUAUGAUGAACAGCCACAACAACAAAAUAUUGUGAUGCUCCUGAUAGAUUUCCUAUUUGUGAUUCUGGUCCUUCCAACAGGUCUGGGUAUCACUUCAUCCUUGUCUGCGUCAGUCCAGAAGCCUCACUGACUCUGUGUCUUCCUGCCUUCUUUCCUUCCUCCCUCCUUCCCUCUCUGUCUCUCUGUCUCUCUCUCCCUUCCUCCCUUCCUUUCUUCCUUUUUUUUUCUUUCUCUUUCUCUCCUUUAUUUAUAUUUCUAAUACUUACUAUAAAAGUUUUAAUUAUUACAAUCUACAAUUCUGAAUUUUCAUCAAAACAUCUUCUUAUUCAUUAGGUCACUCAAUAGGAUCUUAUAGUAAUGAAUUCCAAAGUCAUCUGUAUCCUAAGGCAAAUCACUUAAUAAGAUUCUUAGUCUGUCAAAUGGUAUACAAUACAUCAUAGAGUUGUUGUGAGAGUCAAAUGACUUAAUAUAGAUAUGAAAUCCAAAUAACAGUACAAAGUACACAUUGAAAGCAUCAAGCAUAUUUAAAUUUUAUAAUUAUUUACAUUAAUAUGAUUAACUAGGAUUUUUUCAUGCUCUUUCUAUAGUAAAAACACACUUGGAAUGUACUUUAUGUUUUAGCUUAACUUAGAUCUCCAAAAUGUAGUUGUAAUGAGUACUUACAAAUACUCCAUAGAUAUAUUACUCAUUGAUUACUGUACUCAUUCGUUCAAGCAAUACAUUAUUGAACGUUUCAUGUGUUCACAUAUAUUUCUGUUUCUGUAAAAAUUACUAGUAAGCUACUGUGUAGAAACAAUCUUAUUACGUUGUUCGAUUUAGGAUUUUAAUUAAUAAGAUGCCUUCUCUUGAGUUACGUCUUGUAUGCAUUAAUCAUUCUUUGGCUUCAGAGAAAAAAGAACUGACAUUCUUUGAAGAUAAUUCGGUAAAAACAGCUAGAUAAGACUGUUUGUUUAAUAAGCAAAAGAGAUACAGAGGUGAGUAUAUUUUAAGCUUUAUGAUUACUCAGGUGAUUGAAUUAUUAAGAAGAUGAACAGAAUCCCACUAGGAAUGAUUACAUAUGCCUUUAUCCUGAUUGUUCUCUAAAAAGAGGAUUCUUUGAAGUCCAUGAACAUUUGUUGCAACUGGCCCACUGGGUAUUUGAAGCUUAUUCAAAAGGUCGCAUUUUUGGGCAAGACUCAGUCUUAUAGCCCAGAUGGGCUGAAAUACAAAGGAAUGUAAAUACUUCAAAGUUUGAGCUGUUAAUACAAGGAUUUCUGAGCUGAUUUCUUAGAUGUUGAUUUAAUUUUGGAGAAACCCAUUUGGAAAUGGCAUGAGUAAUUCUCAAGAGGGGUUAAAAUAGUUAAAAUAGACAUGAAGCCACCACCACCACCACCAACAUACAACAAAAACUUGGCAAGGAUAAAUAUCAAUGAAAAACUUUCUCUGAGCAGUCCUCCGGAAACUACUGAAAAUAUCACUGAAAUCAACCUUUACCUCCCUGGUUCACUAAGAGAGCUGAGAAGGUCAAGCUAUGAAACCAAACCUGAGCACUAUAACAUGACAUCAGCAAGUUUUACUCCUUAUAAGUUGCCGUCAUCACAUUUCUUUGGACAUUUUCUAGUUAAGGAAUUUCCAAAAUUCAGUUUUAUUCUUUUCCAUUCUAGUGAUUUCUUCACUCCUUAUCCUGUGGAUAUCAGCUCUAUCAGAUAAAAAAUAUUUUUAUUUAUUUAUUAUUUUUAUUUUUUGCUUUUUUUUUUAGGGCCUCACCCACAGCAUAUGGAAGUUCCCAGGCUGAGAACUGCAUCACAGCUGUAGCUGCCACCCUAGCCACGGCCAAGGACUGAACCCAAGUCCUCAUGGAUAUUAGUCAGGUUCGUUACUGCAGAGCCACGAUGGGAACUCACUUUUUAAAUUUUUGAUUUGUCUAUUUUUUGGUUGCACCUUUGGCAUGUGGAAGUUCCCAGGCCAGUGAUCAAACUCAUGCUAUCGCAGUAACCAGAGCCAUGGCAGUGACAGCACUUAACCCAUUGAGCCACCAGGGAACACCUAAAAAAUCUUUUUAUAACAAAUAUUUUAUAGUAUGCUCUUUACUUUUCUGAAGUGAAAUUAAUAGAGGACAAAAUUACAAAUGAUGUAAUUUUAAAAAUUAAUGUAAUAUCCUAGCUUUAAUCAUUUCAAGAAAUAAAAGGAAAGUAGUUUUAUUAAAAUAAUACACAUAAGUAGAGUAGAACACAAAUGAUUCCAUCUGAUGUCUUCAUCUGACUGUCUAGGAAGAUAUUUAAAAAUUGAAUAAGGUAGCUCUGCAUUUGUAGGAUACUUAAUAUUCCUGUUUCCACUCACUAAAUGCCUUAGAACACUCAUCAGUGAUAUAACCAAAAUAUUCCAUAAAAUUCUAAAACUCUCCUUAGUAGCAGUGCUAUUCUCAUUGAUAACCAGGCUAUUAUUAUUACCAUUUCUAAAAGGAAAUUCCAAAUGACAAUAAUUCCAAAUGACAAGUUAGUCAUCAAUAAAAUAGUUUUACUUAUCAAUAUGUAUUGUGUAUAUUAUUUACUAAUAUCAUAUCACCAUCUUUUAAAAUUGUAUUAAUAAUUCUCAGCU
rnacentral:lncRNA from 1 species